UACGUAGGGUGCAAGCGUUAAUCGGAAUUACUGGGCGUAAAGCGUGCGCAGGCGGUUGUGCAAGACCGAUGUGAAAUCCCCGGGCUUAACCUGGGAAUGGCCGUUGAAACUGGCGAACUGGAGUGUGGCAGAGGGGGGUGGAAUUCCGCGUGUAGCAGUGAAAUGCGUAGAGAUGCGGAGGAACACCGAUGGCGAAGGCAGCCCCCUGGGCUAACACUGACGCUCAGGCACGAAAGCGUGGGGAGCAAACAGG
rnacentral:rRNA from 1 species